GACGAACGCUGGCGGCGUGCUUAACACAUGCAAGUCGAACGAUGAACUGGAGCUUGCUCCAGGGAUUAGUGGCGAACGGGUGAGUAACACGUGAGUAACCUGCCCUUGACUCUGGGAUAAGCGCUAGAAAUGGCGUCUAAUACCGGAUACGAGCUUCAGCCGCAUGGCUAGGAGUUGGAAAGAAUUUUGGUCAAGGAUGGACUCGCGGCCUAUCAGCUAGUUGGUGAGGUAAUGGCUCACCAAGGCGACGACGGGUAGCCGGCCUGAGAGGGUGACCGGCCACACUGGGACUGAGACACGGCCCAGACUCCUACGGGAGGCAGCAGUGGGGAAUAUUGCACAAUGGGCGAAAGCCUGAUGCAGCAACGCCGCGUGAGGGAUGACGGCCUUCGGGUUGUAAACCUCUUUUAGUAGGGAAGAAGCGAAAGUGACGGUA
rnacentral:rRNA from 1 species